UCCAAUAGAUCGUUUAUUUAUUUACCCUCUUGUUAUUUCGAAACAUCCACCACCCUUAAUCCCCUGAAAGUAAAGGCGAUUGAACCCAGUAAAACUGCAAGUACCGUAAGGGAACUAUGAAAAAGCGAUGAAAUAGAUGUUAAGAACUAAAAAGAAGCGAUUAACCCGCGUACCUUUUGCAUCAUGGUUUAGCAAACCAACAGAUAAAGCCAUCUUUUCCCGAAGUCAGACGAGCUAUUCCUUUCCAGAGGUUAAAAGUUAACGCUCUUCGUCCCAUUACUGUCGCAAUAGUAAAGGCAGAGAAAUGAAUAGAGGUGAAAUGCCAACCGCGUCUGCCGAUAGCUGGUUACAGUCGAAACAAGUAGAAGCUUUGCACGCCCUCGGGCGAUGUUAGGAUUUAAGGGACAAGCUUUAAAUUCCAGACAGAAACAACUGCUAAUCUUAAUAAGGUCAAUAACCACUUAAUUUUUCAAUCGUAGGCCUAGAAGCAGCCACCGAUAAAAAUGCGUUACAGCUUAUGAAUUAACCGACAAAAAUAAUUGCCUUCCCAACCUAAUUCCCAUUAGACUGCUAUCUUUCCCUAAAGAAAACUACUGCUAAAACUAGUAAUUUCUCUUCGAUUCUUGUCUAUCCGGCUCCUAACCCAGGAAAGGAAAUUUUUAAGUCUCAAGAACUCCUAAAACCGAAAUCUUCUACCGUUGAGCCAACUCAGGCGAAGAAAAUCCCUAAAAUAAAGAGAAGGAACUCGGCAAAUCAGGUCUCGCCUGUUUACCAAAAACAUCGCCCCCCGAAUAUCCAAACAUGGGGGGUACUGCCUGCCCAGUGAAUUAAUUUAAACGGCCGCGGUAUCCUGACCGUGCGAAGGUAGCACAAUCACUAGCCCUCUAAAUAAGGGCCGGUAUGAAUGGCAACACGAAGGCCUAACUGUCUCCUCUUUAACUAACGAAACUUCUCUAGCCGUGCAAAAGCGGCUAUUAAAGCGCUAGACGAGAAGACCCUAUCGAGCUUCAGGGAUAAGAGACCGACCAAAAACUAGACCAACUGAACUAAUGGCCCGCCAGCUCUCUGACUCAUACAUCUAGUUUUGCUCUUACUCUCCUUUUCCUUUUGGUUGGGGCAACCACGGAGAAUAUCCACCCUCCGAGCCAAACUAAUUUUAAAUGACAUCACGUCAUAAGCAUAACCCUUAUGGUUCAUGAUCCGGACCUUCCGAACAACGAACAAAGUUACCGUAGGGAUAACAGCGUAAUCCCUCCUAAGAGCCCGCAUUGCCGGAGGGGUUUGCGACCUCGAUGUUGGAUCGGGGAAUCCUGAUGGUGCAGCCGCUAUCAAGGGUUGGUCUGUUCGACCAUUAAAACCCCACGUGAUCUGAGUUCAGACCGGCGAGAGCCAGGUCGGCUUCUAUCUACGCAAUUUGCUACCCUAAGUACGAAAGGACAAGGGUAGCCGAGCCAAUAGGCCCCCUACGCUCGACCCCAACCUGUGAAUUCAACUAACC
rnacentral:rRNA from 1 species